AGUAGCGUAGCAGAACGGUCUAAGGCGCUGGCGGAAGGCACCAGUCUCUUUAAAGGCGUGGGUUCGAGUCCCACCGCUGUCA